rnacentral:rRNA from 1 species
CCCUUAGACGUUCUGGGCCGCACGCGCGCUACACUGACCAGUGCAACAAGCAUCCGUCCUUGGCCGACAGGCCCGGGCAAUCUUUGAACGCUGGUCGUGAUGGGGAUAGACUUUUGCAAUUUUUGGUCUUCAACGAGGAAUUCCUAGUAAACGCAGAUCAUCAAUCUGCAUUGAUUACGUCCCUGCCCUUUGUACACACCGCCCGUCGCACCUACCGAUUGGAUGGUCCGGUGAAGCCUCGGGAUUGUGGUUCUUGCCGCUUUAUUGUGGCGUGACCGCGAGAACUUGUCUAAACCUUAUCAUCUAGAGGAAGGUGAAGUCGUAACA